CAAGAUCUAUGAUGUCGCGGAGUUGGAUUCGGGGUUUGAACUUUAUAGGGUUUGGAUUAGGAGUCAGAAUUUGAAACGUUGUAGGGUUUGGAUUCCGAGUUUUACGUUAGUUCGCUUUUUGACACACACAUACAAGAUCUAUGAUGUUGCGGAGUUGGAUUCGGGGUUUGAACUUUAUAGGGUCUGGAUUAGGAGUCAGAAUUUGAAACGUUGUAAGGUUUGGAUUCCGAGUUUUACGUUAAUUCACUUUUUGAUAUACACAGACAAGAUCUAUGAUGUCGCGGAGUUGGAUUCGGGGUUUGAACUUUAUAGGGUUUGGAUUAGGAGUCAGGAUUUGAA
rnacentral:lncRNA from 1 species